rnacentral:rRNA from 1 species
GCUGUGAAGAUGCAGUGUACCCGCGGCAAGACGGAAAGACCCCGUGAACCUUUACUAUAGCUUGACACUGAACAUUGAGCCUUGAUGUGUAGGAUAGGUGGGAGGCUUUGAAGUGUGGACGCCAGUCUGCAUGGAGCCGACCUUGAAAUACCACCCUUUAAUGUUUGAUGUUCUAACGUGGACCCGUAAUCCGGGUUGCGGACAGUGUCUGGUGGGUAGUUUGACUGGGGCGGUCUCCUCCUAAAGAGUAACGGAGGAGCACGAAGGUUGGCUAAUCCUGGUCGGACAUCAGGAGGUUAGUGCAAUGGCAUAAGCCAGCUUGACUGCGAGCGUGACGGCGCGAGCAGGUGCGAAAGCAGGUCAUAGUGAUCCGGUGGUUCUGAAUGGAAGGGCCAUCGCUCAACGGAUAAAAGGUACUCCGGGGAUAACAGGCUGAUACCGCCCAAGAGUUCAUAUCGACGGCGGUGUUUGGCACCUCGAUGUCGGCUCAUCACAUCCUGGGGCUGAAGUAGGUCCCAAGGGUAUGGCUGUUCGCCAUUUAAAGUGGUACGCGAGCUGGGUUUAGAACGUCGUGAGACAGUUCGGUCCCUAUCUGCCGUGGGCGCUGGAGAACUGAGGGGGGCUGCUCCUAGUACGAGAGGACCGGAGUGGACGCAUCACUGGUGUUCGGGUUGUCAUGCCAAUGGCACUGCCCGGUAGCUAAAUGCGGAAGAGAUAAGUGCUGAAAGCAUCUAAGCACGAAACUUGCCCCGAGAUGAGUUCUCCCUGAGACUUAGAGUCUCCUGAAGGAACGUUGAAGACGACGACGUUGAUAGGCCGGGUGUGUAAGCGCAGCGAUGCGUUGAGCUAACCGGUACUAAUGAACCGUGAGG